CUCCAGACUCCUACGGGAGGCAGCAGUGGGGAAUAUUGCACAAUGGGGGAAACCCUGAUGCAGCGACGCCGCGUGAAGGAAGAAGUAUUUCGGUAUGUAAACUUCUAUCAGCAGGGAAGAAAAUGACGGUACCUGAAGAAGAAGCCCCGGCUAACUACGUGCCAGCAGCCGCGGUAAUACGUAGGGGGCAAGCGUUAUCCGGAUUUACUGGGUGUAAAGGGGGCGCAGACGGCGAUGCAAGCCAGGAGUGAAAGCCCGGGGCCCAACCCCGGGACUGCUCUUGGAACUGCGUGGCUGGAGUGCAGGAGGGGCAGGCGGAAUUCCUGGUGUAGCGGUGAAAUGCGUAGAUAUCAGGAGGAACACCGGUGGCGAAGGCGGCCUGCUGGACUGCAACUGACGUUGAGGCCCGAAAGCGUGGGGAGCAAACAGGAUUAGAUACCCCGGUAAA
rnacentral:rRNA from 1 species